CUCAGUUCGGAUCGGAGUCUGCAACUCGACNCCGUGAAGCUGGAUUCGCUAGUAAUCGCGCAUCAGCCACGGCGCGGUGAAUACGUUCCCGGGCCUUGUACACACCGCCCGUCAAGCCAUGGAAGCCGGGAGUGCCUGAAGUGCGUGAGCGCAAGCAGCGCCCUAAGGUAAAACCGGUGACUGGGGCUAAGUCGUAACAAGGUAUC
rnacentral:rRNA from 1 species